UACAGAUGGGGAAAUUGAGCACAACCUGGUAAAAUGGCUUGCCCACACUCUGUGUAGUGUCACUGUGUGGUGUGCGUGUAAUCUUCUCAUUUUACACGUACACAAAUAGUCCCAUUCAUCCAGUGGAAUAUUCACAUGCGUAAGGUCACAUCUGCAUACUCUUGCUUCAUAUCAAAUUGUUUUUAAAGGGGAAAAAACAGUUUCAGUU